GAUGAAGAACGCAGCGAAAUGCGAUAAGUAAUGUGAAUUGCAGAAUUCCGUGAAUCAUCGAAUCUUUGAACGCACAUUGCGCCCCCUGGCAUUCCGGGGGGCAUGCCUGUCCGAGCGUCAUUUCUGCCCUCAAGCACGGCUUGUGUGUUGGGUGUGGUCCCCCCGGGGACCUGCCCGAAAGGCAGCGGCGACGUCCGUCUGGUCCUCGAGCGUAUGGGGCUCUGUCACUCGCUCGGGAAGGACCUGCGGGGGUUGGUCACCACUAUAUUUUACCACGGUUGACCUCGGAUCAGGUAGGAGUUACCCGCUGAAAUUAAGCAUAUCAAUAAGCGGAGGA
rnacentral:misc_RNA from 1 species